UCGUAAUCUCUUUCUCAAUCUCAUCUCUCUCUCUCGCGCGCGAACUCCCAGGUCUCUCCGCAUCUCCCCAUGAUGACCAGAUCCAUGUCUCUCAAAUUGGAGCAAGGAAUUUGGGCAUGGAUCCGUCUCUCAAUCACGUCUCUCUCUUUCUCCCAAACUCUCAGCAAGGACGUUGGGGCGUGGAUCUCCUGCGCUCAACGAGGUUAUCGCACUAAAAUUAUUUUCCUCAUGUGGAUCAGAGAUCGGCUCGGGGCAGAACUAAGCCCAUAAGGCUAGCUUAUAAAUUAAGCCUGCAGCCUAACAUAGACAUCUCAAAUCAAGGAGGCUCUGUUUGUUGUCAGCAUCGUCAUUGGUCAGAUUCUCCUAUUAUGUCAAAUUCUUUUGUUUUCAAUUGAAAC